UUAUUGUCUUUAUUUGAUGUAUUUAUGUUUGUUAUUUAAUUGUGCAUCAUAAUUUUAAUUAUAUCUUUUUAAAUAUUAAUUCGUUUCAUGAACUUUGCUAUACUUUCAAAAAAAAAUUUGCAUAGCAAUACGAUGUUACCGUUAUGUGAUUGCCGUUAUAGGCUUGUUUCCAUUACCCACGAAUGUAGCCACGACCUUAAUUUAAAUCCGUGGGUAUAAUGUAAAGUUUGUUCUAAAUAGUUUUACACUUAUUUAUAUCCUACUCUUUUUAAAACUCUCAAAUAAAAUUAAGUUAUUUAAUCUUCAUUUACGUUCCAUUCCAUUCCCUUUACCUUAACUUUCACUUUCCUUUCCUUUAGUCCAAUUUAGCUUUCCCUAAAUACCAUAUUUCCCCCAGUCGCAAUGUAAACUCACUCAAUAAUGAUAUUCCAAUAAUAUAUGGUGAAUCCUAUCAUUGACUAGCUUAAUUGCUCUGGAUAAUUACUUUUAAAUGGCAUAAAUCACCUUCUUGACAUGCUUAUAUGGUUAUAUCUCAUUAGACUUACCUGACAAGAAUAUCUUUGGUGGCCUUUUAUACUUUUAUGGAGUCCUUCAUGGGUGCUUCAAAAGUGUGGGUGAAACUGUUCAGUGUUCUAGUUUGUGUAUUGUUUAUUAUUGUUACUCUUGUUAGUACAAAAACGAG
rnacentral:misc_RNA from 1 species